rnacentral:lncRNA from 1 species
CCAUCCCCUCUUAUUAUAAAACGCGGUAUCAAAUAAGUAUCGGCUUUUGUACUACCUUUAAUCCACCUUUAAGUACGACCUUGAAAAAACGUUAUUACAAAACGCAGUUUAUCGCAAGUCCUAUUACUAUCUGUAGUACAAAAGAUAAACCAUUGAGCCCCCUAGUUUAACUGCAGUACUUAGUCGACAAACGUCAAAUUCCGACAUUAUUUACUUUUGAGGUUAUUUGUUUUGUGAUGAAAAAAACGAAAGUGGAUAUAAAUAUGUGUGAUUUGGAAUACUUGGAUGUGUUAGAAUACUAUUGAGAGUGUCCGGGGACCCAACAGAAUGCGUCAUCGACAAAAUGUCUUCAAAUUACCUGACGACAAUUUUCGAUAUAAAUAUCGAUUUACGUUUUUCGAAAUAAUAGUCAUUUGAAUGCAUGAUGAUAAUCCAGGAUGAUCCUAUGAUGCUCAACUGGGCUCGCCAUAAAAUUCAAGACUAUUUUGGCGUUUUGCACGCCGUAUCUCUGCCAGUAAUAUGCAAUGUUUGUAAAAAACUGGAAGCUUGCUAAAAUGUACAAAAAUGCCUAGAUGAGAAAGGGAACAAGAUUGUGUGAUGAAGAACAGUGUCCAACAUGUAUCAGUGCAUUUGACUGUAUAAAUAGACAUCGGAAUAAAAUAUAAUUUUCUACUUUUA